AGUAAGUUUACGUCUGUUGGUUCUAGUAGGGAACAGCUACUAGAGGUAACGGGGAAAGUACGGUGUAAAUCCGUCGCUGUCCCGCAACUGUAUUGAGAAGAAGAAAAUCUCUAAGUCAGGAUGCCCGCCAAAGAUUGACUACAUAC
rnacentral:ncRNA from 2 species